rnacentral:rRNA from 1 species
CCUACGGUGGGCAGCAGUAGGGAAUUUUCGUCAAUGGGCGCAAGCCUGAACGAGCAAUGCCGCGUGAACGAGGAAGGUCUUCGGAUCGUAAAGUUCUGUUGAAGGGGAAAAAGAGCGGAGAGAGGAAAUGAACUCCGAUUGAUAUUACCCUUCGAGGAAGUCACGGCUAACUACGUGCCAGCAGCCGCGGUAAUACGUAGGUGGCGAGCGUUAUCCGGAUUUAUUGGGUUUAAAGGGUGCGUAGGCUGUGAGGUAAGUCAGCGGUGAAAUGCCCCCGCUCAACGGGGUGAAGUGCCAUUGAUACUGCCUUGCUGGAAUGCGGAUGCCGUGGGAGGAAUGUGUGGUGUAGCGGUGAAAUGCAUAGAUAUCACACAGAACACCGAUUGCGAAGGCAUCUCACGAAUCCGCGAUUGACGCUGAUGCACGAAAGCGUGGGUAUCAAACAGGAUUAGAUACCCUUGUAGUC